AAUUUGGAAGAGAGAAUGGAAUGGUUGAUUAUACCAAAUUCAGCUCUUGACCAGUAUCAAUUUUAUUGAUUCUUUUCCCCUUCCUACCAGAAGGAUGAAAAAAGUUGGCUUUUUUGGGAUUCGAACAA